rnacentral:tRNA from 1 species
GUGGUUGUGGCCCAGAGGUAGAGCGCUUGCCUAGCAUGCUUGAGGCACUGGGUUCGAUCCUCAGCACCACA